rnacentral:lncRNA from 1 species
GCUGAGGCCACAGCUGACCCCUACACUAGCAAUGGUUUGGUUGUGGUUCUUGCAGACAGCAGGUCAUGCCGGUUGGGCUUGGGGUGGCUGCUUUGGGGCCCUAGAAGCUAGGGAAUAAGUAGAGGAGACUGCAGACACCUCUUGCUCAUUUCCCUGCUGCAGUGUCUUCCUUGUUUCUUGAGGACUGAUUUCUAAGUGGUCUGGAAAGAGAGAAUGGUGCUCAGUCAUACAU